ensembl:lncRNA
AUGCAGGACAGGAACAGACUAUUUUUGUUGACAGACUGCAGUAAAGUUACAUGGCUGUCUAAUGAUGACCCUACCAUUGAGUUGGUCACCCUUGGUAAACUCAAUCCGGACAGGUCACAGAGAGAAGGCAGAGUGCGUCUGAUGUCUGACUGUUCUCUACACAUCAGUGUACACAGUCUACACAAGCUGGAGAUAAUGGAUGCUACACUUGCCGUCAGUAUUCAGGUGUGCAAGGAAGCAAAAUUGGAGAGGAUGCCAGAAUUUGCCUGAUUAUUAAUAAAAGUAAGCUAAUGCUCA